UACGGGGGUGGCAAGCGUUGUUCGGAAUUACUGGGCGUAAAGGGCUCGUAGGCGGCCAACUAAGUCAGACGUGAAAUCCCUCGGCUUAACCGGGGAACUGCGUCUGAUACUGGAUGGCUUGAGUUUGGGAGAGGGAUGCGGAAUUCCAGGUGUAGCGGUGAAAUGCGUAGAUAUCUGGAGGAACACCGGUGGCGAAGGCGGCAUCCUGGACCAACACUGACGCUGAGUGAGCGAAAGCCAGGGGAGCAAACGGG
rnacentral:rRNA from 1 species